UACAUAGCACGAUGGAUAAUUUUCAACUUG
rnacentral:piRNA from 1 species